rnacentral:rRNA from 1 species
GACGAACGCUGGCGGCGUGCUUAACACAUGCAAGUCGAACGGAAAGGCCCCUUUGGGGGUCCUCGAGUGGCGAACGGGUGAGUAACACGUGAGUAACCUUCCCUUUCCUUCGGGAUAACUUCAGGAAACUGGGGCUAAUACCGGAUAGGAAUCCUUGCUGCAUGGUGGGGGUUGGAAAGCUUCGGCGGUUUUGGAUGGACUCGCGGCUUAUCAGCUUGUUGGUGGGGUAGUGGCUUACCAAGGCUUUGACGGGUAGCCGGCCUGCGAGGGCGACCGGCCACAUUGGGACUGAGAGACGGCCCAGACGCCUACGGGAGGCAGCAGGGGGGAAGAGUGCACAAUGGGCGGAAGCCUGAUGCAGAAACGCCGCGUGCGGGAUGACGGCCUUCGGGUUGUAAACCGCUUUCAGCAGGGGCGAAGCUUGUGGUGACGGUACCUGCAGAAGAAGCACCGGCUAACUACGUG